GGAAUUUAGGGAUUGGCAGGAAGCCACUCCUUUAACUUAGUUACUACUAUAUGAUUAGUAUGGGGAAAAUACUUGGGGAAGUCCUAGUUUUAAUUAUUGCAUGCCUAUUUUUAGCAGCAGGAUAUUAAGUAAAUGUUUUGUAAAUUAAAGAUUUUAACGGGAUUCUGCAUAGAACCCUAGAAAAUUACCAAAGGUUAACAAAUUCCACAACUAUAGUUAGAUGUGACUAAUGAUAUUAUUUUAAGUUGGGAACUAUUUUUAGACAUUGCGCAAUUGUGAUUCACAUGUUGUUUAAAAAGCAUCAUCAUGAUGACGAAUGGUCAGUUCAGAUAAGAAAAAAGAAAUUAUACUGUUGUGGUCAUUUACAAGAACGGAGUGAAUCGUGACACUUUUCAACCUUUUAAUUAUUAUUUAAAUGGAUUAAGGCGUUUAUUAUUACUUUUUUUUUAAUGUUAUCUAUGGAUACGAGAAGUCAUAUAUUUAAUCGUUCGGCUUUUUCGAUACAAAUUGUGCGAAAAAUCAUGUCGUUAAUGAUAUCUUUAUUAAAAACAGUGUGUUACGUAAUACCAUGUACAUACGUAAACAUUCCAGCAAUCGAUACAUUCUUUAGGAAGACGACUGGUAUGGUAAGUUUAAUCGAAUUGUAUGUAAACAAUAAUUUCUGUUUCUGACGUAUACAGCUGUUGUAAUACUUGAUCAUUUACUCAAUAUAACACAUAGCAAAAAUACGAUUCUCGAAUUAAACAAGGAUGUGAGAUGAUAAGGAUAUUUUUCUGUCAUUAAAACAGCAAUAUGAAAUGAAUUCGCUUGGAUGAAUUUAUGUUCAAAGAUAAAAAAAAAAUAAAAAAAUACAUUCAUACUUAAUCCAAAACUGAAACAGAAUAUACGUUUAGAGUGCUGGAUCAAUAAUUGCUCUUGGAACACCCAAAAGUGCUAAAUUAAAAGGAAAAAAAUGAAAGAAAAAAAUCGUUUUAUUUUAAAAUCAUUAAACGUUACCUAUGCUUAUAUAUAUGUGUGUGUAUGUGUUUCUGGUGGAAGAAUGUUUAUUCCAAGUAAAAAUUAACCAGAAGAUAUUGUAUUCUCAAUAGUCCCUUAGAUGUAAAGGAUAUUUAACCACCUUAUAUGCUAUAAACAAAAACAUCUUUGAAGAGAGAAAACUUAUUCUUUUAAAAGAGAUAAAGCAUACCACAAACUAUUCAUUUGGUAAUGAAUUCCAUUUAUAUCGUGCAGGCACUUCGGUUGAAGAAAUAAAUCGUUGUGCGGAAAUCGUGUUUUGAAUAUUAUCCAAGUAAUUUUGCUUGUGCACUUUGUUAGUAUUUAAAAAAUGUAUAAUACUGUUUUAAUAUAGUUUUUAAUCCUGUACCAAGUCAGAAAUAUGACAGUUGUUAUCUAAUAUUUUAUUCUAUGUAUUGACGUUUGGUUUUGUUGCACUUCAGUGUUUCUGUUGUUCCGUUGUUUUCUUCUUAUAGUUGAUGUGUUUCCCUCGGCUUUAGUUUACAACUCUAAUUUGUUUUGGCUCAAUCGAUUUAUGACUUUUGAACAGCGGUAUUACUACUGUUGACUUUAUUUAAACUAUGUCAGUAACAUAUUAUUUUAUUCAAAUAUUUGCUCUACAACAUAUGUACAAAUGAUAUUGUUUUUAUUCGAGCGCCAUGGGUGAGUCUCAUGCAGACAUAACGCGAGUCUAACGUAAGAAAUCAUAAGCCUUGUAUCUUUGAUCAGCUUUUCCAACCAUCGAAUCAGACCCACUACUAGUUGAAUUUAAAUUUGGAAUAUCAUUGAUAUGAUCAUUUUCUGUUUAUUGACAUUCAAGUUAUUCGUAACACUAAGCUUGUUUUAUACGCAGACAUAGAUAGCCUUACACGUAUUUGGUUCAACUUUUCAUAAUUGUUUGGAUGAAAUGCUGUUCUUUUGUGUCAAACAUACCUUAACGUUUUUAAAAUUCUGUCGAUGCACUUGUAUCACUCCUUUUGGAGUUAAUAAGUUCCCUCAUGUUUUGUUUGUUAUCUUCAUUUGUUUUGUCUUUAUAUUUUGUAGAAUUGAACAUUGGUAAUUUGCUGUUGCUUAAAUUUACUCGUUUAGUAACACAGUACUAAUAAUUAGUUCUUAACUAGAGUCUCUAAAUGUAUUUUGUUUUUUUGUCGUUGAGAUGUCACUUCCUUCCCUAAACGUCUUUGUGCAUAUCAUAUCAUGAUUUUUGUAACAGUAAAGUUCACUACCUAAUGAAUAAUUAAAAUGUUAAUUUCAAACUCUAAGUAUUAAUCUAGUACUAUAGAGUUCUGUUACUGCAAUAUUAUAUCUUUCACGUUUUCAAAAGACUUUUACGCUGGAAUCAAAAAGUUGAGAAGCCAAAUAACGCACGAAGUUGAAGAGCACUACGGAUCUUAAUUACCGAAUGGUUUUGCCAAUUGCAACAAAGGUAGUAUGUUCCUUUGGUAGAAAAUCCUAAGUAUUAGAAACAAUUUAAUUUUUUGUAAAAGUUAAUUUAUAGGUAAGACUAUGUCACUGAUAAAUAAUUUCAACAGAGAAGUGUUAAUUACUUGGCUAGUGUUGCCAUCGGAGAAUGGUUUGAAAGUACUUAAACCGAAUAUUGCAGUAUCAAGGGGCAUUUUCAGUACUUAAUAAUAGUAAAAAUAAUUUUAAAAAGCUAGGAUUUAUUUGAUAUGCACGAAAAAAGAAUCAUUUAAGUAGCAUUGAUACAAAGUACAUUCAUUCAAUCCCUAUUAAAUUCCUUUAAAAGGUCUAUUUAUAAAAUCUUAAAUAUAGAAAGGCGUGAUACAACCGAUACACCAUAUAAAAUCACUUAUUAUUUUAAAAGUUCAUUUAUUCAUUAAGUCAUGUCAUUAUCUUAUAAAAAAAAAACGUGACCUAAAUGUCAUUCAGAUGCACUUGAAAAUAUCCUCCUUUCGUUUGCCAUGUGAUCGAAGUGUUGUAUUAUUAAUUAAUAAGUAUUCAGAGAAACAUCUCAAGCAUCAAAUGACAGCUUUAUGAUCAGUUCUUGGAGAAAGAAAUCAUCUAAAACAUUUGUAAAGGCACAAGUAAGUAUACACGAUUUUUUUCUAUAACACAAAAAUCUUUUUAAUAAAUAAUUCAUAGAACAAACUAUUGUCAGUCAUGAACAAACUGAUACUUUCAAUUUCCCUUGAGUCAUAAUUCCCGCUUAAACAUCAUUUUUUUUUAUUGCCGGCAGCACGAAAAGUUAAGUUCUAAGACUCUGCAUAGACUGGCAUAGAAAUAAACAAAAAAAUCAAAUAAGAAACAAAAACAAGUAUAGAUAAUUGCUUAUUUGGCACAUAAUUUGAAGUAAGACACAAAAAUAGAACGAAGUCUAAAAAUGGUAUGAAUUAAAACUUAAAACAAUGAAAAUUGGCAUUUGAAUACCAAUUACCAUACACUAUAUGAUCAAAGAAUGUUAAAGAAUUCAGACAGCAUUGUUUGAAUAUUUCCCACUCGAAUAUGCUUUAUUAGUUAUAGUUCUAGUGAUUGGCACAUUUUUAAUAUAGAUUCGAAUGAUAAUAAAAGAAGUAACGCUAUAACAAAGUGACAAUCAAAAUGAUAUACACUAUGGAAAAAGAAAAAUAGAACGUUAGAAAAUCAACAGUCCACAAAAAAAUUCAUAUUCCACUGACCGAGUUUAAAGAGAGAGAAUUUUUACUGCAUUGACUUUUAUUUCAAUCAAUUUGAACGUUCCUGGUGAAGAUAAAUCAUGGAAAGUACUUCGGAUUUAUGAAAUAAUGGUCUAGAG
rnacentral:lncRNA from 1 species